CCAGACUCCUACGGGAGGCAGCAGUCGGGAAUAUUGCGCAAUGGAGGAAACUCUGACGCAGUGACGCCGCGUAUAGGAAGAAGGUUUUCGGAUUGUAAACUAUUGUCCACAGGGAAGAUAAAAGACUGUACCUGUGAAGAAAGCCCCGGCUAACUACGUGCCAGCAGCCGCGGUAAUACGUAGGGGGCAAGCGUUAUCCGGAUUCACUGGGUGUAAAGGGAGCGUAGACGGCCAGGCAAGCCUGGAGUGAAAGCCCGGGGCCCAACCCCGGGACUGCUCUGGGAACUGUCCGGCUGGAGUGCGGGAGGGGCAGGCGGAAUUCCUGGUGUAGCGGUGAAAUGCGUAGAUAUCAGGAGGAACACCGGCGGCGAAGGCGGCCUGCUGGACCGCGACUGACGUUGAGGCUCGAAAGCGUGGGGAGCGAACGGGAUUAGAUACCCUUGUA
rnacentral:rRNA from 1 species